rnacentral:rRNA from 1 species
UACGUAGGGGGCGAGCGUUGUCCGGAGUUACUGGGCGUAAAGCGCACGCAGGCGGUGCUGCGCGUUUGGGGUUACAGCUCCCGGCUCAACCGGGAGGGCGCCUCGAAGACGGCAGCACUUGAGGGCCAGAGAGGGACACGGAACUCCGGGUGGAGUGGUGAAAUGCGUAGAUAUCCGGAAGAACACCAAAGGCGAAGGCAGUGUCCUGGCUGGUACCUGACGCUCAGGUGCGAAAGCUAGGGGAGCGAACGGG